UAAAACCAUGCAGUCAAGCCAAAAGAAGCCAGGUGCACAUUUUAAUUAAAAACACAUUUUUCCAAUUACAGUUGAAACCGUGAACCUAAAAUAAAAAGCGAAGCAAAUGUCGUGAGUUCAAGCAAGCUAAUUACAGUAAAUCAAAUGGAAAGUUACUAAAGAUAGAAUCAAAGCUUAAGGCUAACUUUAUAUGUUUGCUUAACGCCAGGCUGCAGCACUGGGGGGUCGAUGGCUUCAUUUUUCUUUUAGCAUUCAGGUCUGGGCUGCUUCCUAAAAUUGACUUAAAGUUGCAUUCAUUGGGAAAUCUGGGUCCUUAAAAUCCGGAUCUGAGAAGGCAGAGAAGGAAAUAGGGAAAAAAUUGCAUGUUUUCUCUUAAGGCACCUGGUGAGUCUUUCCAAUAAAAUAAUCGGAAUUCACUCUGAAGACUGUGGACCUAAGCAGGCCUGAGGGCUCUGACAUAUACCAAAUCCCUGCCCAGGGGAACAGGGGAGAUUAAAAACUUCUGAUUGAGGUGGAGAGGAAAGAGACACAGAGAGAGGGAAGGAGAGACAGAAAGAAAGCUUAUCGUUCACCUUUGUUCUUUUUAAUGCCCCAAGUGAAAGAUCUCCAUAGGCAUGUCUGUGAAUAACAGCAAACACAAGAGCAGCUGCCCACCACUGUGGUCAGAAGAUGGAGUGAGAGAGUGAGGGAGGAGACGAGAACAGGAUUACAUCCUGUGAAAGAGCCAAGCUCAUAUUCUACAUUAAUUGAAUGCCUGGGAGAAAGGAGAGGCAUGAGAGCAAGCCUUUUCAGUGCCAACUGCUUCAAGAGGUACUGCAAUUAACCCUCUGGCCAUCAUAAAGUAAUACCUGGCUUUUGUUGUUUUCCAAUUGCUGGGUUUGGUUGUACACUGUGGAUGUGUGCUUGGGCCGUGGUCAUGUUUCAGCCCCUGGUGUGUAGACCGGAACGGACCGGCUCUCAAAGAAACGGCCUGAUUCCUCCUCUGUUGCUGCUGCUGCUGCUUCCUUACACCUCCCUUAAGCCCGCUCAGGCGGCCAAACCCAAAGGGCCAGGACACACACAUUUGAACUCUAUUCGCAUCGAUGGGGAUAUCUCCUUAGGUGGGCUCUUCCCAGUACACGCCAGAGGGCACGAUGGAAAGCCAUGUGGGGAGCUGAAGAAGGAGAAGGGUAUACAUAGACUGGAGGCCAUGCUCUUUGCCCUUGACCGCAUCAAUAAUGACAAUAAUCUACUGCCCAACAUCACACUGGGAGCACGAAUCCUGGACACCUGCUCAAGGGACACUCACGCCUUGGAGCAGUCUCUCACCUUCGUGCAGGCUCUGAUCGAGAAGGACGGCACAGAUGUCAAAUGUCUCGGUGGGGGGGCGCCCAUUAUCACCAAACCUGAGAGGGUUGUAGGUGUCAUUGGAGCCUCCUCCAGCUCUGUUUCCAUCAUGGUGGCCAAUAUAUUACGCCUGUUUAAGAUACCCCAGGUGAGCUAUGCCUCCACAGCUCCAGAGCUAAGUGACAACACCCGCUAUGACUUCUUCUCCCGAGUGGUGCCUCCUGAUACCUACCAGGCCCAGGCCAUGGUGGAUAUUGUGAAGUAUAUGCGCUGGAACUAUGUUUCCACAGUGGCCUCAGAGGGGAACUAUGGAGAGAGCGGUGUUGAUGCUUUCAUUCAGAAGUCUCGGGAGGAUGGCGGUGUGUGCAUCUCCCAGUCUGUCAAAAUUCCCCGGGAGCCCAAGCAAGGAGAGUUCGACAAGGUCAUCCGGCGACUCAGAGAAAAUCCAAAUGCAAGAGUCGUCAUACUUUUUGCCAAUGAAGAUGAUAUCAGGCGGCUGCUCCAUGCAGCGAAAAAGGCCAACCAGACAGGUCAUUUUAUCUGGGUGGGUUCAGACAGCUGGGGCUCAAAGAUCUCUCCGGUUGUGCAGCAGGAGGAGAUGGCAGAGGGAGCAGUCACCAUCUUGCCCAAGCGUCAGUCCAUCAGAGGGUUUGAUCGUUACUUCAUCAGUCGAACGCUGGAAAACAACAGAAGGAAUAUCUGGUUUGCUGAGUUCUGGGAGAACAACUUCAACUGCAAACUCAGCCGUCAUGCGGUGAAGAAAGGGUCCGGGCUCAAGAAGUGCACAAAUCAGGAGCGAAUCGGGAAGGACUCGCAAUAUGAGCAGGAGGGAAAGGUACAGUUUGUUAUCGAUGCCGUCUAUGCAAUGGCUCAUGCCUUGCACAACAUGCACCAGGAGCUGUGCCCAGGCAAGGUUGGUCUCUGCGCUAAAAUGGACCCCAUAAAUGGCACUCAUCUGCUGAAGCAUAUUCGUCGUCUCAACUUUUCAGGCAUAGCUGGCAACCCAGUGCUCUUCAAUGAAAACGGAGAUGCCCCUGGACGUUAUGAGAUCUACCAAUACCAGAUCAGAAACCGAACAGCUGAGUACAAAAUUAUUGGUCACUGGGCGGAUCAACUCCAUCUGAAUGUUCGUUCAAUGCAGUGGCCCGGUGGUGUCCGUCAGAUCCCUUCCUCAAUCUGCAGCCAGCCCUGUCGGCCUGGUGAGCGCAAGAAGAUUGUGAAGGGCAUCCCUUGCUGUUGGCACUGCGAACGCUGCGAUGGCUAUCAAUACCAGGCAGACACCUACACGUGUAAGAUGUGUCACUUUGAUUUGAGGCCCAAUGAGAAUCACACAGGCUGCGUUCCAAUCCCCAUUGUUAAGCUGGAGUGGAGCUCUCCGUGGGCAGUCAUCCCUGUGUUUGUUGCAGUCAUUGGCAUCAUGGCCACUUUGUUUGUGGUGGUCACAUUCGUUCGCUACAAUGACACUCCAAUUGUGAAAGCAUCAGGCCGGGAGCUAAGCUAUGUCCUGCUAACUGGCAUUUUUCUCUGCUAUGCCACAACGUUCCUGAUGAUCUCUGCUCCUGAUGUCGUAAUCUGCUCCCUUCGUCGGAUCUUCUUGGGUCUGGGGAUGAGCAUUAGUUAUGCUGCUCUGCUCACCAAAACCAAUCGUAUUUACCGCAUCUUCGAGCAGGGUAGUAUGUCUGUGAGCGCGCCAAAGUUCAUUUCUCCAGCCUCACAGCUAGUCAUCACGUUCACCCUGGCCUCGGUGCAGCUGGUCGGGGUGUGCAUCUGGUUUGUUGUGGAUCCCUCCAAAGCUAUUAUUGACUAUGAGGACCAGAGAACCUCUAACCCAGCGCUGGCUCGUGGUGUGCUCAAGUGUGACAUCUCUGACCUGUCCCUCAUCUGCCUGCUUGGCUAUAGUAUGCUGCUCAUGGUCACCUGCACAGUCUAUGCGAUUAAAACCAGAGGGGUGCCGGAGACCUUCAAUGAGGCCAAACCAAUUGGUUUUACUAUGUACACCACCUGCAUUAUUUGGCUAGCAUUCAUCCCAAUCUUCUUUGGCACAUCACAAUCAACAGAAAAGAUGUACAUCCAAACAACCACGCUGACGAUCUCUGUGAGCCUGAGUGCUUCAGUGUCCCUCGGGUUGCUCUACAUGCCCAAGGUCUAUGUGGUUCUUUUCCACCCUGAGCAGAAUGUGCCUAAGCGCACACGGACCCUCAAGGCUGUGGUUACUGCUGCCACCAUGUCCAACAAGUUCAACCCCAAGGCUGGACUCAGACCCAAUGGAGAAGCCAAGACCGAGCUGUGCGAAAGCCUCGAAACACAGUAAGCAUUACAGGAAUCACAAUUAUGUGUGUGAGAAUGAAGUCACAAAGGAAUGGAUUAGAAAGCAUAUUCUGGAGUCCAACAAUGGAACUAAGACGCCUGUAAAACAUUGAGAUCUGAUUGUGCCUUUCCAGAUGUGCAGGCUGCCAAUUCCAUAGGCACCUCCAUACUUUCAGAGAUGCAGGUUUUUGAACUGAGUGCUAAUAACAAGCCAGAUGGUCCCUCUCCACUUUAGUCCAGCGCAUAUGUCCAUGUUUUUACAUUUUUGAAAUUCUUUAUUAUAUCUUUUUAUUCAUCUUACCAAAGAACAGUUUUCCAUUUUGCCUCAGUCCCGAUGAGCUGUGGCCCAGAGAAGACAACGGUUUUUCUGGAUCAUUUUCACAUAUGGUUUCUUCUAAUCAUCAUACUGUAGAAAUUUAACCUUCAUUUGUGGAUGGCACAGCAAAUUGUGUUCAUAGCCCUGACCUGUGUCCCUUUAUUCAGAUUCUCAAAAUCAUUUUGUGAUAUGAUUUAAAAUGUACUAUAGGUGUUGAGUUAGUCAAAGUCUUUAUUCUGAAAGCCAUUAUUCUAUAAUAAUGAAUAAUGAAGUAAUUAUUCUGAAAAUUGUUCUACAAUUUGUAGAUUUUUUUUCUGAGAAACACUGUCUCUCUAAAGUGCUCUUUUUUUAUAGCCAGUCAUGUUACUGACUUGUUGCCAGUUAACCCAAUCAAUCGCAAAAUAUCCCUGCAGUAGUUCUCGUAGUUAUCCCUGUUCAAACUUUGAGACAUGUUACUGCCAACUAAUUGAAAAUGAGCUAAUUCGUGAAAUAUUAAAAUGUCUCAGUGUAAACUUUGUGUUUUUUAUUUCUAUCUGUUUGAAUUCUGCUUUAUUUAUAUUUUAUAUAGCGUUCCAGUUCUUGUGUGGAAUUGGGUUUCUAAUAAUUUUCAGUUUAUCUCUGACUUAAACUGUUGAUUUUUGUCGUGCAACCAUUGGUUACAAUUCAUUAUAAUGCAAAUAUUUACUUGCUCUAUCCUGUAAAAUGAAGCUUUCAGAUUGGGAAACCUAUCUGCAUUCAUUACUGUUUACUGACAUGCUAUAUAUAAACGGAAACAAUAUUCAAUAGAUAAAUAUUUGAAUCACUAAUCGAAGUCUAGUAUUUGCACACAUUAUUAAAAAAAACAAGAAAGGUGUGACUCUCUUUUCUAAAGCAGCUGAAUCAUUGUGUAUGCCUCCUAAUCUCAAUACCAACAAAAAUGCUUGGCACUCCUGUGUCAGUGACACACUGUGGAUUUAUAUUAGUGAGGUAAAUAAUGACCUCAGCAACUGAGUCAGCAGAAAUUACUCAAGUGGCGUUCAAAACACUCUUCUUGCCUUAAGCAGGGAAAGGUUUUUAUCAGUCUGUCAGCCGGGAUGUGUUCCCACAGUGUGGCUUGAACUUAUAAGGAACCUUUUGUCAGACAUUUUAAGCCCCCCACACCCACACCCACUUUUAAACCACAAGUAUUGACAGCUGUUUCCUUUCAUAGGAGAAUAAAAUAGCUGACAUUAUAUUUACUGUUAGCACAAAACCAGAAAUCAAUGUAAAACUUAUCACAAUGCUCUGCAGUAACAAUAGCACAAUGGUGUGAGGCCAGUCACGAAAACUACAUGUAUCCAAACAGAGCAGCAUUAAUUCCAUUCUUGCUUCAUGUUUGUGUGGAUGGUUAAAAGGGCCUUUUGUUAAAAUAAGUGUCGAGAAGGCAGAGACGCUGAAUUGAUAGCCAGCAGCAAAUUAUCCUGAUGGGGUUACCGUUUACAGGGGCUAUACAGUGUAUGGCUAUUUGAAUGAGCGCCAUUUGUCAUUGUCAACGCCAGUGUGGAUAUAUGGCUUGAUGAAAUUGAAAAAUUCCUGUCUGGGCCAGCUCCCCCCAAUGCUGAGAUCUAGUGGCGAUAUGUCAGGAUUUAUCUGCUCCCACUCAGAGAAUCAGCUAACACGGUCCGGGGAGACAGCUGGAAAGUUAACUCCUGAUAGCUGUGAGGAAAAAAAAAUGGUGGUGGUGGCUAAAGGUAAUAGCUACAUUUGGCACAUGCUGAGGGGAAAAACAUGACCUGAGAACUAGGAAUAUCAUAACCAAUCAGGAAUUAAACACAUUUUUUUCAGCCCUGUGUAGCAGUUCCUUACUCUUGUUACUACAGGAAGAGAGCUAAACAAAAAGAGCUUCAUGCCCAAAUCAGCUCCCUUUCUUAAGUUACAAAGUUUACCUCAACUGUAUCUAACUCUGACUC